rnacentral:lncRNA from 12 species
CUAGGGCACACUGGAGAUGGGGGCCAGAAAGACUCUUUGGUGGGAGAGGGCAGCAGAUGACCUUGCAGGAUGGAGGGGAGGUUAAAAAGUUGGGGGGAGGAGGCAUCCCCAUUUAAUCCUGGCCAGGAUGAUUUUUUCCAGGGCUGCCUUGAUUGACCACCGUAACAUGGCAGGACGUCUGGGCAUGGUUGGUGACAUACCUUCCUUGGUGGAGACUGGCUAAUGUGAAGGCAAUGACCUCCAUCACACAUUUCAGAAGAACUUACCCUUGCCUCUUU